AGUGGCAGACGGGUGCGUAACGCGUGGGAACAUACCUUUUGGUUCGGAAUAACUCAGGGAAACUUGAGCUAAUACCGGAUACGCCCGUGAGGGGAAAGAUUUAUCGCCGAAAGAUUGGCCCGCGUCUGAUUAGCUAGUUGGUGUGGUAACGGCGCACCAAGGCGACGAUCAGUAGCUGGUCUGAGAGGAUGAUCAGCCACACUGGGACUGAGACACGGCCCAG
rnacentral:rRNA from 1 species